rnacentral:rRNA from 1 species
GACGAACGCUGGCGGCGUGCCUAAUACAUGCAAGUAGAACGCUGAAGGAGGAGCUUGCUUCUCUGGAUGAGUUGCGAACGGGUGAGUAACGCGUAGGUAACCUGCCUGGUAGCGGGGGAUAACUAUUGGAAACGAUAGCUAAUACCGCAUAAGAGUAGAUGUUGCAUGACAUUUGCUUAAAAGGUGCAAUUGCAUCACUACCAGAUGGACCUGCGUUGUAUUAGCUAGUUGGUGGGGUAACGGCUCACCAAGGCGACGAUACAUAGCCGACCUGAGAGGGUGAUCGGCCACACUGGGACUGAGACACGGCCCAGACUCCUACGGGAGGCAGCAGUAGGGAAUCUUCGGCAAUGGACGGAAGUCUGACCGAGCAACGCCGCGUGAGUGAAGAAGGUUUUCGGAUCGGAAAGCUCGGUUGUAAGAGAAGAACGAGUGUGAGAGUGGAAAGUUCACACUGUGACGGUAUCUGACCAGAAAGGGACGGCUAACUACGUG